rnacentral:rRNA from 1 species
GAUGAACGCUAGCUACAGGCUUAACACAUGCAAGUCGAGGGGAAACGAUAGAGAAAGCUUGCUUUUUCUAGGCGUCGACCGGCGCACGGGUGAGCAACGCGUAUCCAACCUGCCCAUCACUUGGGGAUAACCUUGCGAAAGUAAGACUAAUACCCAAUGAUAUCUCUAGAAGACAUCUGAAGGAGAUUAAAGAUUUAUCGGUGAUGGAUGGGGAUGCGUCUGAUAGCUUGUUGGCGGGGUAACGGCCCACCAAGGCGACGAUCAGUAGGGGUUCUGAGAGGAAGGUCCCCCACAUUGGAACUGAGACACGGUCCAAACUCCUACGGGAGGCAGCAGUGAGGAAUAUUGGUCAAUGGACGAGAGUCUGAACCAGCCAAGUAGCGUGCAGGAUAACGGCCCUAUGGGUUGUAAACUGCUUUUAUAAGGGAAUAAAGUGGGAGUCGUGACUCCUUUUGCAUGUACCUUAUGAAUAAGGACCGGCUAAUUCCGUGCCAGCAGCCGCCGUAA